rnacentral:rRNA from 1 species
UUUCCGGUUGAUCCUGCCGGACCUGACUGCUAUCGGAUUGAUACUAAGCCAUGCGAGUCUUUGUAGUAAUACAAGGCAGACGGCUCAGUAACACGUAGUCAACCUACCCUAUGGACGAGAAUAAUCUCGGGAAACUGAGCAUAAUUCUUGAUAGAUCAUAAUGCCUGGAAUGGUUUAUGGUUAAAAUGAUUCGUCGCCAUAGGAUGGGACUGCGGCCUAUCAGCUUGUUGGUGAGGUAAUGGCCCACCAAGGCGAUUACAGGUACGGGCUCUGAGAGGAGAAGCCCGGAGAUGGGUACUGAGACACGGACCCAGGCCCUAUGGGGCGCAGCAGGCGAGAAAACUUUGCAAUGUGCGAAAGCACGACAAGGUUAAUCCGAGUGAUUUCUGCUAAAGAAAUCUUUUGCCGGCCGUAAAACCGCUGGUGAAUAAGGGGUGGGCAAGUUCUGGUGUCAGCCGCCGCGGUAAAACCAGCACCUCAAGUGGUCAGGAUGAUUAUUGGGCCUAAAGCAUCCGUAGCCGGCUUUGUAAGUUUUCGGUUAAAUCCAUGUGCUCAACACAUGGGCUGCCGAAAAUACUGCAUAGCUAGGGAGUGGGAGAGGUAGACGGUACUCAGUAGGUAGGGGUAAAAUCCUUUGAUCUAUUGAUGACCACCUGUGGCGAAGGCGGUCUACCAGAACACGUUCGACGGUGAGGGAUGAAAGCUGGGGGAGCAAACCGGAUUAGAUACCCGGGUAGUCCCAGCUGUAAACGAUGCAGACUCGAUGAUGCAUUGGCAUAAUAGCUAUUGCAGUGUCGCAGGGAAGCCGUUAAGUCUGCCGCCUGGGAAGUACGUACGCAAGUAUGAAACUUAAAGGAAUUGGCGGGGGAGCACCACAAGGGGUGAAGCCUGCGGUUCAAUUGGAGUCAACGCCGGA